rnacentral:rRNA from 1 species
GCAGUGAUGUGGAGCUAAACUGAAAAAAGUAGUCUCAGUUCGGAUUGAAGGCUGAAAUUCGCCUUCAUGAAGCCGGAAUUGCUAGUAAUGGCAGGUCAGCAUACUGCCGUGAAUACGUUCCCGGGGCCCUUGUACACACCGACCCGUCACACCAUGAGAGUUGGGAAUACCCGAAGCCUGUGAGCUAACUAUACGAGGCAGCAGUCGAAGGUAGAAUCAAUGAUUGGGGUGAAGUCGUAACAAGGUAAC